CUAUACAUGCAGUCGAGCGAAUGGAUGGGAGCUUGCUCCCUGAAGUUAGCGGCGGACGGGUGAGUAACACGUGGGCAACCUGCCUGUAAGACUGGGAUAACUUCGGGAAACCGGAGCUAAUACCGGAUACGUUCUUUCCUCGCAUGAGGAAAGAUGGAAAGACGGUUUCGGCUGUCACUUACAGAUGGGCCCGCGGCGCAUUAGCUAGUUGGUGAGGUAAUGGCUCACCAAGGCCACGAUGCGUAGCCNACCUGAGAGGGUGAUCGGCCACACUGGGACUGAGACACGGCCCAGACUCCUACGGGAGGCAGCANUAGGGAAUCUUCCGCAAUGGACGAAAGUCUGACGGAGCAACGCCGCGUGAGCGAAGAAGGCCUUCGGGUCGUAAAGCUCUGUUGUUAGGGAAGAACAAGUGCCAGAGUAACUGCUGGCACCUUGACGGUACCUAACCAGAAAGCCACGGCUAACUACGUGCCAGCAGCCGCGGUAAUACGUAGGUGGCAAGCGUUGUCCGGAAUUAUUGGGCGUAAAGCGCGCGCAGGUGGUUCCUUAAGUCUGAUGUGAAAGCCCACGGCUCAACCGUGGAGGGUCAUUGGAAACUGGGGGACUUGAGUGCAGAAGAGGAAAGUGGAAUUCCAAGUGUAGCGGUG
rnacentral:rRNA from 1 species